AGAGUUUGAUCCUGGCUCAGGAUGAACGCUAGCGAUAGGCCUAACACAUGCAAGUCGAGGGGCAGCAUAGAGUAGCAAUACUUUGAUGGCGACCGGCGCACGGGUGAGUAACACGUAUGCAACCUACCUACAUCAGGGGAAUAACCCGGAGAAAUUCGGACUAAUACCGCAUAAUACAGGGAUGCCGCAUGGUAAUAUUUGUUAAAGAUUUAUCGGAUGUAGAUGGGCAUGCGUUCCAUUAGCUAGUUGGUAAGGUAACGGCUUACCAAGGCAACGAUGGAUAGGGGAACUGAGAGGUUUGUCCCCCACACUGGAACUGAGACACGGACCAGACUCCUACGGGAGGCAGCAGUGAGGAAUAUUGGUCAAUGGACGAGAGUCUGAACCAGCCAAAUCGCGUGAAGGAAGACUGCCCUACGGGUUGUAAACUUCUUUUGUACAGGAAUAAAAGACAUUACGUGUAAUGUAUUGCAUGUACUGUACGAAUAAGCAUCGGCUAACUCCGUGCCAGCAGCCGCGGUAAUACGGAGGAUGCGAGCGUUAUCCGGAUUUAUUGGGUUUAAAGGGUGCGCAGGCGGGAUUUUAAGUCAGCGGUGAAAUUUUCAGGCUCAACCUGAACACUGCCGUUGAAACUGGGAUUCUUGAGUAUGGAUGAAGUAGGCGGAAUUCGUUGUGUAGCGGUGACAUGCUUAGAUAUAACGAGGAACUCCGAUUGCGUAGGCAGCUUACUAAGCCAUAACUGACGCUCAAGCACGAAAGCGUGGGGAUCAAACAGGAUUAGAUACCCUGGUAGUCG
rnacentral:rRNA from 1 species